rnacentral:rRNA from 1 species
AUUGAACGCUGGCGGCAUGCCUUACACAUGCAAGUCGAACGGCAGCACGGGGGCAACCCUGGUGGCGAGUGGCGAACGGGUGAGUAAUACAUCGGAACGUGCCCAGUAGUGGGGGAUAGCCCGGCGAAAGCCGGAUUAAUACCGCAUGCGACCUACGGGUGAAAGCGGGGGAUCGCAAGACCUCGCGCUGUUGGAGCGGCCGAUGUCAGAUUAGGUUGUUGGUGGGGUAAAGGCCACCAAGCCGACGAUCUGUAGCUGGUCUGAGAGGACGACCAGCCACACUGGGACUGAGACACGGCCCAGACUCCUACGGGAGGCAGCAGUGGGGAAUUUUGGACAAUGGGGGCAACCCUGAUCCAGCCAUGCCGCGUGCGGGAAGAAGGCCUUGGUGUAA